UACAGAGGGGGCGAGCGUUGUUCGGAAUUACUGGGCGUAAAGGGCGCGUAGGCGGCCUUCUAAGUCGAACGUGAAAUCCCCGGGCCCAACCCGGGAACUGCGUCCGAUACUGGGAGGCUUGAAUCCGGGAGAGGGAUGUGGAAUUCCAGGUGUAGCGGUGAAAUGCGUAGAUAUCUGGAGGAACACCGGUGGCGAAGGCGGCAUCCUGGACCGGUAUUGACGCUGAGGCGCGAAAGCCAGGGGAGCAAACGGG
rnacentral:rRNA from 1 species